AGUUCAUGCUGUUGUGGAGAAGUUGUUGGACGUGUUAAACACUCCAUCAGAAGCUGUUCAACGGGCUGUAUCAUCAUGCCUAUCUCCAUUAAUGCAAUCAAAGAAAGAUGAUGCAGCUGCACUUGUUUCUAGACUGUUGGAUCAACUAAUGAAGAGUGACAAAUAUGGUGAACGUCGUGGAGCAGCUUUUGGACUGGCUGGAGUGGUUAAGGGAUUUGGAAUAUCUUGCCUGAAGAGUUAUGGUAUUGUUGC
rnacentral:misc_RNA from 1 species